rnacentral:rRNA from 1 species
GUAGGGAAUAUUGCGCAAUGGGGGAAACCCUGACGCAGCGACGCCGCGUGAGUGAUGAAGGCCUUCGGGUCGUAAAGCUCUGUUGCAGGGGAAUAAAAAAAUGAAGGUACCCUGUGAGGAAUGAUCGGCUAACUUCGUGCCAGCAGCCGCGGUAAGACGAGGGAUCCUAGCGUUGCUCGGAAUCAUUGGGCGUACAGAGGGCGUAGGUGGCUUGGUAAGUCAGGUGUGAAAGCCCAGGGCUCGACGCUGGAAGUGCAUUUGAUACUGCUGAGCUUGAGUGUCGGAGAGGUUACCGGAAUACCUGGUGUAGUGGUGAAAUACGUAGAUAUCAGGUGGAACACCGGAGGCGAAGGCGGGUAACUGGACGAACACUGACACUGAGGCCCGAAAGCGUGGGGAUCAAACAGGAUUAGAUACCCGAGUAGUCC